UAGUGUUACAGCUCUUUUAGAAUUUGUCUAGCAGGCUUCCCAAUUUUUGCAGGAAAGCCCCU
rnacentral:snRNA from 1 species